rnacentral:rRNA from 1 species
CCUACGGGUGGCAGCAGUGGGGAAUAUUGCACAAUGGGGGAAACCCUGAUGCAGCGACGCCGCGUGAGUGAAGAAGUACUUCGUUAUGUAAAGCUCUAUCAGCCGGGAAGAAAAUGACGGUACCUGAGUAAGAAGCCGCGGCUAACUACGUGCCAGCAGCCGCGGCAAUACGUAGGGGGCAAGCGUUAUCCGGAAUUACUGGGUGUAAAGGGAGCGUAGACGGUGAUGUAAGUCUGGAGUGAAAGGCGGGGCCCAACCCCCGGACUGCUGUGGAAACUAUGUGACUGGAGUGCAGGAGAGGUGAGCGGAAUUCCUGGUGUAGCGGUGAAAUGCGUAGAUAUUAGGAGGAACACCAGUGGCGAAGGCGGCUCACUGGACUGUAACUGACGUUGAGGCUCGAAAGCGUGGGGAGCAAACAGGAUUAGAUACCCUUGUAGUC